GGGAUGGGUACCGGUGUUCUGACAUAAACGGUAGUAACCAGACCGAAAAGCAGCGCACAUUUCGGUGCUUUAUUUCGGUGCUUUUUUUUCCUGAGCUGUGACACACUUCUAGCCAAUCAUUUUACGUUUCCCAGGAUAGUAGGCGGGGCCAGGUACGUACGUUCUGUUAGAGCAGAGCUACAGAUUAAAAAUGUCCAAGGCGAAGCGGUCAAAAGUCUGGCUGUACUUCACAGCAAAAGAUGCAAACUCAGCAGCAACAAGUGCUUUAAGCUGAUACUGUGAUACUGUCAAAGGAGGUAACACCAAGAAUCCGAUUAAACAGCUGGCGACACAUAGCGUUUUUUUAAAAGCCGAGAAAUGCGCGGUAUUUGAUAGCUUGCUGCGAGACCUCACACUGUGCACGUUGGGUGGGUUGCCAGUUAUCGGACCCGGAGCAACAUCCCCCAAAAACCCGAAGAGGAGAGUCCUGGCCCCUAGCCCUGCCAGUGUAGCAGAAAUGAUGAGGAUGCAGCAGCAGCCGUUCUUCUCUGCAUACUCCCUUCACCCUGGACAAAAAGGCUAAAAUGACCAAAGAAAAAGUGGGAAACAGCUAAACAUGAGAGGUUUUUGGACAAAGUUUGUGUUUUUUUUUCAUUGUUUAAGCACUGCUUCCAACCAAGAGUGAUGCCAUAUAUGCCCCAUAGCUGCAGAAAAGGCUAACAUUGUUAUCUUUUUACAAAAAAAACAGCUGAACAUGAGAAGUUUUUGGACAAAGUUUGUGUUCUCCAUUCAUUAAGCACCGGUUCGAGCACCGUUUAAGCACCGGCACCGUUUCAAAAGUACCGAUUUGGCACCAGUAUCGGAUAAAACCUAAACGAUACCCAUCCCUACUCACUACAAUAAAUACAUCGAGUCCAACGGGGGAAGGUCAGAAGGAAGGCGAGUGUUUCAGAGGGGAAACCACAAGUCUGAGCAGAUGUUCCAGAUGUUUACAGAGUUGUACCCCAAACUUUAUCCUGAUGACUCAUGAUGAAACAUUGUAAAUAAAAAAACCAAAACCCUUUCUUCUGCAAACUUCCUGUUGCUGCAAGCUUCUUCCCUCUGUUUCACAAUAAAAGUCUUUCCCUUCUCAGUGCAAUUAUUGUGAAACAUGAUUUAUUCACAGCUGGUUUCCUGACAGUUGGCUG
ensembl:lncRNA